rnacentral:sRNA from 1 species
GAUAAAAAAAGACCGAACACGAUUCCUGUAUUCGGUCCAGGGAAAUGGCUCUUGGGAGAGAGCCGUGCGCUAAAAGUUGGCAUUAAUGCAGGCUAAGUCGCCUUGCCUUAUAAGAAUAGUUUACCGUGUCAGGUUUUCCAGU